rnacentral:piRNA from 1 species
UAUGAUUAGGCGUUAGCAAAA